AUGAGUUCAGAUGAAUAUUAAAUCUUCAUUUAGUCUUAAUGCCAGUGAUGGAGAAUGGAUGACAUUAUGGAAAUGUAAAAUACUUUCCCAUACCAUCGUCAGCCCAGACUCUUGCGAUGAUUCAGCUUCUGCCAACUUCUCUUAAUUCCUUUGCUGAUCUCAGCCAAGCCCUUGAAGAGCUGGAUAGCUCAUCUCCUUUGCCAUAAGAUCAAAGUGUAUGCUGCUGUCAGCACAGUAAAAUGGAACAUCCACAGAUCGGAGCAAAGAAUAUUUCUUCAAAGUUUGUGAUAAUUUUGCACUUAAUUGGUGGAUAGAUAUCUUUCACCCAGAGGACCAUAGGGAGAGUAAAGAUAAAAAUGAAUGAGGAUCACAGGAUGCCUAAUUUGGAGGUGUGUGAUGGUUGCUCUCAAGUUUUAAACUGUGGGAAAGAAAUUGAAAUCCCGGGUUUUCCAGUCUGCUGCCUGGUUGCUGUUUCCAUUGACUCACUCUUUACUGGAUUGCCAGGAAGACAAAGGCAAGGAAGAUGUACUGUACCUCACCAUGGAGAGACAUGCAGGUUGGCCUCCCUCCAACACGUGAUCUCUUUUCUGAGGGACCUUCCAAGGACAAGACUCACCCAUGUGGAGGACCUCUGACCUCUGUGGCAGCUUUUCAUCAGCAUUGCCAGACAAUCUCCAUCCCCAGCUCCUUUUAAUAGAGGCAGCUCCCUCAGAUGCUUGGGUAGUUUCUACAGGAAAUAUGAGAAGUAAAGAAAGGGGAAAUUUUGGGAUCUACUGGGCUCCCCUGCAGUCUGCUGAGGGGGCCUGAACAUGGUCUAAAUUUUGGAUACUUGAUCUGAAGGCUUUGGUUACUGGUAUGGAUAUACAAGUUGCUUUAAAUAGAUUUAAGGCUGAAUAAGAAGUGAAUUCCUUAAGUCUCUCCCCCAGGGUCUUAUUGACUUCAGUGGCAGUGAAAUCCUUCCUCAGAGAUAACUCUGCAAUCUUCAUUCAUUGCAUCCUCAGCAACAUUCUGCUAUCCAGUUCCCCUUGAAAAUGUUUUUUGUGCUGUGACCUGUUGGCUGGUUAUUUAAGUGGUGCUGCUUACAGCCUUCCACUGGUUGUUGUACACCUUAUAACAUUUAAAGGCUUAUUUCAGCUCAUUUGUGAAGUGUAAGGAAAAGGAUUAUUAGUGAAAUUCUUCCCAGUAUUUUAGAAGCAUUAGUAAAUAUUGAAUAAAGGGCAAUCACACUGUUGUUUUCACAGAAACUAUGAAAGAUAGACUACUGGAUUAGAAACAAUCCUGCACGGGCCUGGACAUGUCCAACUGAUUUGUUUGCCUGCAGAAACCAUCUUGCACUAUUUACAGUCAAUGACAGCGAUGUCCUUCAAAUAUUGCCUUCGAUCCAUUUCACAAAUGUGCCACUUUCACUUUGCUUCAUGUUCUUACCGUGCCCUAGUCUGGUCAUAGCUGUGCUCCGCUUACUGUUACUGGCCUAGAGACACCUUGAAUAUGGAAAAAAAGCAAGUGGGGUGGCUCUAUCAGAGAACUUGGGCCAGCCUUCCAGUGGUUAGUUCAUCCCUGUGCCUUGCUGCUCAUUCGCAUGGCCUCAGUACCUGAGCCAGGUUUCUGGCUGUCUGGAGUGUGCCUGAGCAGUGACCCCGUGGCAUGAAGGACCAGACAGUGUGAUUGGAGUGGAGAUACUUGCUGAUGUAGCUGACUAGAUGACCUGGUUGCCUGGUAAAUAUUGGUGGUAAAGGAAAUUGCAAAGCCAAUCUGAGGAAGUCGCUGUGUCUUGGCCACGUCCCCACUGGCUUUUGUGUUGCACUCUCAAGCCUGAUUUCCAUUUUCUGGACACUACUUUCUUCCUGCUCUUCUGAUUGUUUGGCUGGAGAUGCUGGCAGUGAGUUGUGGCAGGCUAUCAGAAGUGAACAGGGACUUCCUUUGGAUGAACAAAGCCUGCCUAUUCUUUGCCCCAGCCCAAAAGCCUCACAGAAGGCAUGGGAUGCCCAAUCACUGUCCUGUUGCUCAUCUUUCAGUCUGUGGGAGACGAGCAAUGGUGGCAGCCCAGGACAUAGCACCUUGGAGGCACUGCCAUUAGACUCACGGCAGCAUGACCUGAGGAUUGCCUAGUGGCUUUCAGAUGCAGAGCACUUAAGGCCAGGGAUAGGAGCAGUCUCUCUAAACCCCUUCAGCACACUUUUUGUUCAGACACAUCUGAAAAGGUAAUAUAGGGGUACGCGGCUCCUGCCACUCCCCUCCAGGAAGGCAGGGGCUGUGAGGCAGGUAAUCCCCUCCUCCCUCAAGGUCUUCACCCAUGCAUGCUCCCUGCAUUGUGGGAAGCUGGGCCAUUUGCAGACGUGGCAUGAUGAUUGAUUUUACUUCUCAUCGUACACCAGUGAACCGUGGCUGCUUUUCCACUGAUGUAACCUACCAGGCCAGCAGGAUGUUGAAGUGGCAGGGAGACAGCAGCUGCUGGGGAUAAUAGGGGAAGCAGCUGGCUGCUGCUGCCCCAGCCUCAUUGUGUAGGGGAGAUGCUGGCUGGAAAAGUUGGGGGCAGGAGGGGAAGAAGGAGAUGCGUCACUGCACUUACCUUCCUCUGAGCCUAUCUGCCCCUGCUUGUCAAAGACAACUUCUGCAUGGCCACAUGCACAUAGGCAAAUGUGAAUGAGGUUUAACCCAGCUGUCUCAGGUGUCAGUUAGGCAGAGAGUUGCUGCCUGAACUUUUAAUCACUGGAGUGAGUACCAUGUGAGCCUGAAAAGCUCAGGCUGAAAAUUGUGGUCUUACAGUGAAAGGCAGGGGUUUUGUCCAGCACUGAUCCUGGCUGGUGGCUCCCUUGUGAGGUACAGGCUGCACUGUGGAUGGUUCUCCAGGCUGUUCAGGCCACUCCUGAGGUCACCUCAAGGUCCUGAUCUUUGAGGGGCUCCAUCCCUGUCUUACAGGAAGAGAACCACUUGUCUGGCCCAGGAGAAAUUCCAAGGGCCUUCAAGCAUAUGGCCAGGUCUGUCCCUCUUCCAGAAGGUCUUAGAACAACAGGAAUAUUGUGCAAGGAGGUGACUUAGGCAGGACUGCAGGCUUUAACAGCACAUGGGCCCCCACCUCCAACUGCAAACUUGUGUAAAUAUCUUUCAAAGGAAGGAAUUUUUUCUCAAUAAGAUCAAAAUUGCACAAAAGGCAGGGAAGGAUGUUUAUGGGAAAGGCAGGUCUGCUGUGCUGGGACCUCGUGUGAGAAAUUUGACUAGUACUAUCCACCAAAGUUAGUCCAAGAAUUCAGAAAGGCCCAGUUGAGGAAGAUCCUUAGCACAGCUGGGUUGACCUUGUUGCAUUUGACCCAACAAAGUCAACUCGUGCCAAGAAGCAUCUUCUGUGACUGUGGCAGGGAGAAGACCAAGAGGCCCCAUGGCCACCUCUUCAGGACACCUCCAUGCUCCAUGUGAGCCUAAUGCGCCAGAGAGAUGUCCACGUGGCAUAAAGAAGGGUGCUGUUGUAAACUGUAACCCUGAAAACUAAAACCACCCUCUUUUUGAAAAGGAGUUUGAUGGGGUGAGGAGGAGGCAGGGGAGAAAUGAGUUCAUUUAGAGUUAUCCUCUUAGAGUCUUCUUGCGUAGUAGCUCUUACUGUGUUUUCCAGGGGAUGCUGUUGUUACCCUGGCUUUACUCAUGGGGAAACCGAGGCAUGCAACAGUACGGUGAAUGACCUGUAGUCAGUGCAAACCCCAGAGAAGGACCUUGCUCUUUGGGUUCCAGCCAGGUACUCCCUACAAGUUGUAAGUAAUACAAAAAUAGCCAUUAUACUCUCUGUAUUUAGAAAUUCCCAUUUCCAGUAGGAAGCAGGUAGAAAAGGAAUUGGUAAGCCCUGCUGCUGCUGCUUUUCCUUACUAGCCAGCUUGUCAGUUCACUUUUACCAUUUUACAUAUGGUCACUUGAUACCGGCAGCUGCUUUGGGACAUCUCUAUCUGUCAUAUCCUUCUUUUUAUUUCAGUGUCCAAAAGCUUCAGUGCUCCACAAAAAAAAAAAAAAAACAAAAAAACCAACCAACCAAACAUUAAAAAACCCAACUCUGGUAGCUGAGUUCCUCCCAGGCUUGGUUCUAAACAUGUCACUUUAAUGAUGUCUAAACUAUGCAGCACUUGAUGAGCAGAACAUUACUAUCUUCUAGCCACAUUUGUUUUCCCUCUCUCCCAGAGCAUUAUAGUCACCCAGGGAGAACUGCAUGUUCUACUUUGCUGCUGUAAAGCUAUUAUGGGUAUGAAAAGUUCCCAUUAAUCUGCUCCACACAUGGAUGUUUCUGGAUAAAGUUCAGUAGCCAGAUCCCUCUUCCUUUGUGUGCAUCAAACGAAGCAGAAAAAUGCCUCCAAUUUAAAGACACCAAAUGAAUAACCAAAUAGAUGAGAUUAAUUUUUGUUUAAUCCACGUGGGCAGCGAAGCCAAUGGCCAGUGUUUGUAUGUGGACUUCUCCCGGGAGUUCAUUACCAGCCAAGUCUGUAAUAAGUUAAUGCAGAGAUUCCAUGGAAAUAGGGGGUUAAUUAUAUGCAGAGGAUGUUGGCCAAUAUACAGCUUUGAACAACAAAAAUAGCCCAAAGUCUUGUGCUUUGGAUGUGGAAUCAAUUAAGGAGGUCCAUGCCAUGUACCAGAAUUUGUUAAGAUAGUUGUUGUACAAUAAGGUUGCUUUAUUACUUUUUUUUCUUAAAAGCUAAGAAAAUAAGUGGAUAGUGGAAGGCGAGGGACAGAAAGACAUGAGGCUGGUAAUAAAACACUGGACUUUGGACUGCAGCCAAAGCAAGAUUUUCAAUGGGUUUAAAGUUUGGACGACAGCAGAGUUUGAACUGGUUUUCACUAACUGUCCGAAAGGUCCAACCCUAAUAGAGAGAAGAGGUUGCUUUUCGUUUACCAACUUCCUUCUCUCUGCUGGCAGGAGUGUUAUGCUGCUAAUCUGCCGUAGUCAUUAGACUGACGGAUAUCAGCAUGUGGCGCAGCGUGCUGCAGAUUCAACUCCAAAGCUGAAACAUAAAAAAUUCUCCCCAUUGCUGGUUGGCACAAACCUAAUUUUUUCUCCUUUUCCACAUCUGGUCCUAAUAUAAAAUGUGUCUUUCUGCCUUUUUUUUUCUUGCUUCCCUGGCCACAUCUUUAGAAAUGGCUUCUUUUAAAAAAUAGAGUGCCUCCCCCUCUUCCCCUGUAUUUCUAGGUUUUAGAACUAAUUGUAUGUAUUCAUAGUAGUUUAAUAGUACAGCUUUGGUACUGGGUAGAACACAGCCCUGUGCCUUUGCAGAGGGAUGUAGUUUGAAAAAAAAAAAAAAGCAGAGAAAGAUGAGAUUACUUUUACUUCCCUUCAGUGUUCAGAGCUGUGAAACAGACUUUUGGCUGUUAUAAGUUUUUAAGGAGCCCCAUAAAAAGGUAAAAUAGAAACUUAAAACAAAAAAUCUGACCAAUUUUCACCCCCUUUGGUUUUAGCACAAGCUGUGGGCAUCCUGCAGGCAUUUCUUAAGUCUCUCAGCUCCCACUGCUUUUCUCCUCACUCCCUUCCCCUAACUUGAUUCCUAAAGCCAUUAGUUUGUUCCUAGAAAUUAUCUACUUGUUUGCUGUGUCGUGUUUUGGUUUGUUUUUUGUUUUGUACACAGAAAUCUGCAGGCCAAAGCAAACAGCUGUUCAGAAAAAUGUUGCAAGACAAUCCAAUUUUGAGUCAAGUGCUCCUGAAAAGUUCUCAGCAUCUUUGCUAAAGUGAUUGGAUAACAUUACCCUUGGUGGAGCCUGCAGCCACUGAGUCUCCAUAGAAAUCACAGCAGGUCUCGCCUGGUCCAGCCCACAAAAGAUGAGCAUGUUUGAGCCGUUUUUGUGCUGUCUGCCCAGGCAAAGAAGACUCAUCUCAUCCACUAAGGUCUGAGUGGGAUUUGUUCUGAAGUGGAUUUCUACCAUCUGUCAUCUCCCCAAGAGCUACAUCAUACUCUCUUAGAGACAGGAAAACUUCAUAAAGAGAAGGCUUUGAAUUAGGAGUCCACUGUGCAUUGCAACAUUUAUCAUUGUGACUCUCAUACCUUCAGUGUUACUGCAGAUCUGGGCAAAGUGUGAAAUGAUUCUCUCUUAUCUUUGAGGAGAUGAAAUGUGCUCCAACACUGCUGCCUCUGAAAGCCAGCUCUGACCUGUUUUGGUCCACAUAAAUUGUUAGGAUUAUUGGAAAAUCUCAACAAACUUCAACAGCAUAAUCUGCACAAUUAAUUUCGAAGUACUUUGGGUAACAUUCAGUACUUUUUCUUAUUACGUUAUGCUGUCCAUAGAAACCCUUGUACUUCCUCAGGUACACACCAAGUUAUGAAGGAGCUGGAGGCACUUGGAGAGCUAGAAAAUGAUUAAUAACUGUCAAUUUACAGGGAACACUUUAAAAUCCCUUGAGUCUCCUAAAUCUCUCCUGGGACACCAGCCUUUAGCUAGGAUGUCAUUCUCUGAUGCAGUGCCUUCAUUCGUGAUUGGAAAGGAUCUGAAGCCACAGGCAAGAUUUUCAGAAACUUUAGGACAAAGUCAUGACAGGGAAAAAAAGGGAGACUGUGGGAGCUGCAGCAUGGAGGAUCACACGAGGGAGUAGCUGGUGUGUGCAUGCCAGCACCAGAGUCCUCAGACUCUUUCAUCAUGGCAACCACAGCUUGACUGCCAGACAAGCCACCUCCUUUUGUAUUCACAAUUGCAAAAUAUCUCUGCAGCAGCUCUAGCGAUUAGCUCAGAGAGAAAAGAAAAACUUUUCAUGCAUCCUUAGCAUAGCAGAUGUUUUUUUUAAAAAAACCAAAAAGAUUAAUUUUGCUUUUUCACUUGGCCCUUUGCUAUAUCUCCACUCUGUGUCCUAAGUGUUUUCUUUGCCAAGGAGACAAGCAGAAGCAGUGAACUCUUUGUAGACGCCUGACACUGGUUUUAGAUUUAUCAAUUUUAGGGUUAUUUUCUUGCAUACAUUUCAGUAUUGUUUUUUGGAGGGUGGGGGUUGUUUUUUUUUGUUUUGUUUUGUUUUAGAUUGCAUGGAGUAGCUGUAUUUAUUUUGCUGCCAUGCUCUAUUUUACAUAAAAAUUUAAGUUUAUUUCUCAUUCCUAUUUGCCAUGGAGACCACAAUCUCAGAGUAAAUUAUGGGAGAAACCCACAAACAGUUAAUCAAAAGCAAAAUGAAUGAGGCUUGUGUGGUGCCGUGAAGGUCAUUAGACUAAGGUCUGAGCAGCUGCCAAGGGGAGCGAGCUCCACAGCAGGAGCGCUCAUCUGAGAGAUCCUUGUUGCUGGACGUGGAAGGGUUGAGCCUGGGAGCUGGCUGCAGGUACCUCCUAGUCGAGCUCAGGGGCCAUGGCUGGAUGCAGGGUGGGACCACAUCACUUCUCAUACUCUUGGUCCAGAGAACUCUGCAAGGAGGUGAGAGGGCAAGUCCUACCCCAUGGGAGGGCAACAGGGAUUUGCCUGUGCUCCAGCUGGCUGGCUGCCUCCUUUACUAGCUGUGGAGCGAGUGGGUAGCUCUAAAAUCAUAAAAAUAGAUGCUUGCUGGCAGUUAGGGCUGAUGAAAGGGCUCAGGGACCACGGCUAAAGUGAAAGUCUGGAGGUGACAUAGAGUGAAGGGGUGCAGCAGGCAGCGCAGAGCGACAAGUGGUUAGCUGUGUGUCCUCUGAACUGCUCUCAAUCCCACCUACAUUUUUCUCUCCCCGUCAGAGUAACUGCAGAGGGGCUGCUAGUUCACCAUCCACUUCAGCCCUGUCUCUUUCCAGCUUGGAGUUGGAAGUGAAACUGCAGGAUAUCAAUGGAAGAUGGAAAUGGAAAGGCAGAGUGUUGUGUUGUCUCUUCAGCUUCAGAAUGUCUUCCAGUGCAUCUUCCUACAUUACAGAAGAAUUUUGACUAAACAAAAUCAUUAAGUGAAAAUUAUUACUAAGAACAACGAAGAUGUAUCUGGGUUCCUAUGCACCAUUAUUCAUGAAUAUUAAACAGCAUGUUAAGCUUUCCUAUAGAUCAGUUUGUGUAUCUGUGGGGCAGUCUUGCUAUUUUAUUCCUCAUUCAUGCCAUAAUUGCAGGAAUCCUUUAUGCCAGUGUAAACACUGAUCUUGCUGCGUGUUGGAAUUACAAAGUACAUAAGAUGAGGAGAGCUGGAAUAACAAGAAUGUGUAUUUUCUGAGAAAGUAGAAGGUUUCUGGAGGAGGAGUUUUCCCAAAGGGAGCUAAGUUUACACAUCUAACUCAUUCGGGCUUUUUGGUUCUGAAGCUGACACACAUGCACAAACACACAUCAUCCAGUAUCUAUUUCACGAGUGCAUUCUUCCCAUCUCAGUGUGUAAAGGUCUUGAAAGCAAUAGCUACUGGCAGUACCCCAAUUCAACAUAUCUAAUGGGUCCUUUCCAGUUACAAAAUCACUAAGGACACAUGCCCGUAUGAAAGCGAAGCUUAAACUACCUUGCUGUCAGAAGCAAUGAAAUGAGCUGCAUGUCAUUGUGGGCUUCAUUUUUGGGCUUUUUGGUUUUUUUCAGUCUUGAUUUGCUGAAUGCACCUCAAGAAUUGUGUUACUGAAGUGACUUCACAAAUCUAAUAAAAACUGCAAUGGCUUUUCAUUGUUUUCUACAUUUUAUAGAUUAAUAGGCUGCAGGUGGAAGGAAAAAGGGUAGAUUUGAUUCUCUGCAAACUACUUCUGACUCAGAUUUAAGAGGGCAUGCCCUACCUAUAUACUCAAAGCAGAUAUUUUGGAUCAGCCUCAAAUGGCCUAACUCUACUGACUUAAUCACAGAGUUUCAAAUUUACAUCAUCUCAGUGUUUGAACCUGAUGUUAUGUGUGCAGACGUAAUCAGAAAGUGACACUGCCUCUCUUCAGCUCAACAUUCGAUCUUCUCCAUGUUUGUGUGUGUUCAUAUGCGUUUGUGAGUCUAGUGAUAUGGACACAAAAUAUUUAUGGCUUACUGUGUUUUCCUGUCUGCUUGGGUAAGAAAUCUUAGUUACAGUAACUGUAGCUAUUGGAGAAAAUUUUUUCAACACAAACAACCACUGGAGGAAAGAAAUGCCUUGAAAACUGUCCAUGUAGUUUGCACCCAGUAAGGACAUCUUACAUCUACAGGCUAACAGGAACAGCAUUCCUUACAGGCUGACACACAUUUUACAGGCCUAAAUUUCUGCUAGAAUUUUGCUUUUUACAUUGGCAUCCCUUCUAACCAUUGUCAUGCUGCUUAUUCUUACUUCUCAGCCUAGAGGAGAUCUGGCCAGGCUUUAUCUUAGUGGUCUGUAUUCCUACGGUCACAAAAACAAUUCAGGCUUGUUCUUUCAAACAAAAAUAAUUAUCACUAAGUUAUCUAGGAGUUUGAGUCAAAUGCUGUAUUUCACUAAUAAGCAUCAUUUUGAAGAGAUAGUGUUUAAAAAGAAUUGUUAUCUAAUACUUACUGGCAGGCUUUGAAUCUUACAUCCCUGUUAAAAUUGAUUUCCUAUACGUGCCUAAUUACUGAUGACACAGUAAGAUAUAAGCAAGAGCUAUCUUGCAACUGAAAAAAACAAAACAAAACAAAACUUGAAGCCAAGUUCCCUUUGUCUUAGACAGGAGGCUUCUUUUUAUUUCAUUUAGUAAAGCGACCAAGAAAGGAUCCUCCUCCAAGAACUUGCAGCAAUAUAAGGAGUGUAUACAAAACAAGCCCAGACAUCAAACAGGGCAACUCCCAAAAUGUCUUUGCAUUUGUAAACAUGCUUCACAUAUACUCAGCUUUGCAGUAAGCAUGAAACACAAAACUUGGGAUAUGUCUUAUUCGUUUAAAUGGAUGCUAAUUCAGGCUGUGGUUGAUGAGAUGAAGACUGCAGCUGCACCUGGCUCAAGAAGAUGUUUUAACACCUUGAAAAAUUAAAGGUAUUUUUAUUUUUUAAAACAGGAGAUCAGUUGCCUGAUCCGAUUUGCAGUGCAGCCCUAUGAAUAGUUGUUAGAGCCACUAUCCUAUAUAAGCACUGCAGCCACUGUUAUCCUUUCCCUGGGGUCAAACAACAACCUUUGAUCUGAAGGAUGUUCACUGAUGAUGAGAACACCGAAGGAGGGAGAAAAGCUCCUGUUUCAUUGAGAUAUGUGUCCUUCAUUCCAGA